ensembl:lncRNA
CACACACACGCACACACACACACACACACACACACACACACACACACACACACACACACACACACACACACACACACACACACACACACAUAUACGGGUCUAUGUGGUAUGGAGGGACUAUCCUACGUCAAUCCGCCCGGUGGUGGUUUAAGUGGACUACCCUUUUCAAUGGACUUAGAGCCAAGGGAGCGAGGUUAAAGUGUUCGAAAAAAUCUGAAAAAAAUUUGGGUCACUUCAGACCUCAUACACUCCCUAUAGAAGUCUAGAUACACUGAUACACACCAACCAGACUCUAUUGUGUUUUCUGGAGACAUUGUCCACUUGACAACAAUGUGUUUUAUGAGGUCCAAAAAAAACAAUAUUGGGUCUUUAAAGGGACAAUGAUGUAAUAUUUAAAUAGCUCAUCAUUACCAUGAAUACACAUCUGACAGGACACAGGAUUACUGGAACAUCAUUUUAUUAGUGUUCUUGGAUCUGAACAUUAAUUUUAACCAUAAAUAAAAAAAGAAAUCUAUGGACAAAAAUGCCCACGCUUCCCACAGAAAUAUAAAAAUAUAGAAAACAGAAAAAUUAAAAACAUUUAAAAUGAAUUUUAAUAGUUUAAAGGUAAAUAUUAAGGGGAGAAAAUAUGCAUUUAUAAUUUUUUAUUUUAAAUAUAACCCGUCAAAAAAAAACCCUAAAUAAAUUAAAUGUAAAAAUUAUGAAAUACAAACUACUUCUGUAUUUAACAAGAACUUUUUUUUUCUUUAAACAGAACAUCAGUGUUAACAACAAUUGGCAAUCUGACCAAGAUGUAAAACCACAUCUGGCUAAACAGUUAUUUUAAUUCAUUUUUUUCUGCCUUUUUGCAGUUAAUCCUCUGUUUCUUACAAAAUCUCUUAUGUUUUGAACUGUUCUUCCUGCCAACACCGGAUCUUCUACCAAUUUGCAAUGACUGCAUUCAUUUUUGGUGGCUAGUUUCCCUUCGUUUAUGUGGUCUUUAAAAUGCCUCAUCACUGCAGCAACCUCAGCCUUGGACCACAUGUUUUUGGGAGCUCUUCGGGAAUUGUGGGAUUGAGCAGCAUUUUUCUCUGGAAGAUAUAUAAAGUAGUAGUAGUUAAAACAAACAAAAAACCAAACAAAAAAAACAAAAAACAUUUGCUUGUUAAAAGAAUGGAUGCUACCCUGUACUAACUUCUGAAAUGUGUUGCUACCAUCAAUAUCAAAACGAGCUAAAAUUCUCUUUGAAAAUUUAUCAAAUUUCUAAAAUGAGACAACAUUUAGUGUUCCGCUGUGAAUAAAAGACUGAAUAAAAAGUUGAAAUAAAAGUCUCUUGAUGCAUGCUCAAUCAUCCAGGUAAGUAAAUCCCAAAACGUUGAUUCUGUUAAUCUGGACGUAGCGUUUUCAGUUGGAGAAACAUUUUGUCACUCAUCCAAGUGACUUUUUGCCACCACUCUGCAGUUUGCCAAAUGUUGCAAAGUG